ACACAAUCUUCUAAGCUAAUUAAUUUUACUCGAGAUGUUCUCUUUCACUGACAUGGCAGAAACAACUGCUUCACCACUAUUUUCUGCAGAAAACUCUUGAAUCAAUGGUACUCUGAUGCACCAAUGCAAAGGAAAGUGGUGCCAUUACUUAUUGUUGGGAGGUUAUGUGGUCAUAGAUUAUCAUAUACACUGAUAGGGUUAAGAACAAGAUAUCAGCUAAUUUUCAUUGGUGGAACAAGGCACUGAGAAACAAGGAGGGUUGAGAUCUGAAGAAAUUGAAAAUCAGUUUUGAAUGAAGACUGAGGCUGGAGAUGGGACCCGCCAACAUGCUAUCUUCAGCAUCGAUAUGUUUCUAGAGGUAACACAUCUCUCUGUACCCAUGCUCUUUCAGGGAAUUGCAAGCGGUUACAAGUACUCGAUGCUCAAUCUCAAAGGUUGGAAACAGACACUUCUUUUUGAAAGGCAAAUGCAGAAAGAACAGAUAAAGUAAAGGAUGUCAUUCUCAAAAGAUCA